GGGGAAGGGCUCAGGGGUGGAGCAUCUGCUUUGCAUGCAGAAGGUCCCAGGUUCAAUCCUCCGGAUCUCCA
rnacentral:tRNA from 1 species